rnacentral:rRNA from 1 species
GACGAACGCUGGCGGCGUGCUUAACACAUGCAAGUCGAACGGAAAGGCCCUGCUUUUGUGGGGUGCUCGAGUGGCGAACGGGUGAGUAACACGUGAGUAACCUGCCCUUGACUUUGGGAUAACUUCAGGCAACUGGGGCUAAUACCGGAUAGGAGCUCCUGCUGCAUGGUGGGGGUUGGAAAGUUUCGGCGGCUGGGGAUGGACUCGCGGCUUAUCAGCUUGUUGGUGGGGUAGUGGCUUACCAAGGCUUUGACGGGUAGCCGGCCUGAGAGGGUGACCGGCCACAUUGGGACUGAGAUACGGCCCAGACUCCUACGGGAGGCAGCAGUGGGGAAUAUUGCACGAUGGGCGGAAGCCUGAUGCAGCAACGCCGCGUGCGGGAUGACGGCCUUCGGGUUGUAAACCGCUUUCGCCUGUGACGAAGCGUGAGUGACGGUAAUGGGUAAAGAAGCACCGGCUAACUACGUG